AGAUGAUAAAAUUGUCCUUGAAUAAGAUACCUUGUUUGAGUUACUUUGUUUUGUUUAGCCAGUUCAACUUGUAAUAAAAUUACAAUCAAUCUGCUUUCUUAAUUAUUAACUAUACCACAUCACCAUUGGAUGAUUAACGUUAAAAUUGUGUCCCUGUCAAUCUUUGUGUGACAAUUAAUCCAGCAUCCAAGUGAACAAUUACAUUCCAAGUUACUUCUUAAAUUGUUGUACAUUUUUAACUCAACCUUUUCAAUACUGUCAUCUAAGAGAUCUAAUCUUGAUUUUCAUCAUAUUCAUCAUCAAUCAUCAUCUUCAUAUUCAUCAUAUUCAUCACUAUAAUCAUCUCAAAUUUAACAUUGUUAAUAACCAUUUGAACCAUUUUUGGGUAUGAGUUCAACCUUUUAUAACGGCCCAGCCGAUCAAUUUAAAGAAUACCUUUUCAAAAUAUUGGUUAUUGGUGAGAUUGCUUCUGGUAAAACCUCGUUUGUUAAAAGAUAUGUUCACAAGUUAUUCUCAACCAAUUAUCGGUCCACCAUUGGAGUCGAUUUUGCCCUGAAAGCGGUUAAAUGGGGUGACGAUAAGAUUGUCCGAAUCCAAUUGUGGGACAUUGCUGGCCAGGAAAGAUUUGGCAACAUGACCAGAGUCUAUUACAAGGAGGCUGUUGGUGCAUUUAUCGUCUGUGAUGUUACCCGUAAACAAACCCUAGAUGCUAUACCAAAAUGGAAAAGUGAUCUCGACUCGAAAGUGACUCUUGCCGAUGGUUCCCGAGUACCCACUGUACUCUUGUUAAACAAAUGUGACAUGGAAAAAGGUGAAUGGGCUUUGGAUACCAUAUUUUUAGACUCCUUUUGCCGUGAUCACGGGAUUGAAGCUUGGUUUUACACAUCAGCCAAGGAAAAUAUAAACAUUGAUGAGGCGGCUCAGUUUUUGAUAUCAUUAAUUAUGCAGAAGCAAAAUUCAUUGGAUCGAGAUGAUAAUUUUAACGAGAGCAUCAAAAUAACCCGACAACAGGAUGAUUCAACUCCAGUCAAGACAUGUUGUUGACAAGCCUGAAACAAAUAUACAUAAAGAGAGAGGGGAAGAGAGAGAGAGAGAGAAAAAGAUAAUUAAAAUCAUUUGAUCAACUGAAAUGAACUGAUUAAAAAAAAUGAUCUUACCAAGUUAUAAUUAUUUAUUGCAACCAACAAUUACUACAAUUGGAUAAAUUGGUUGAAAAAUUUUAUGUGAUCGAUGAAAAUCCUCCUUCGAAUCCUGUGAAUACCUUCAAGGCAGACCUGAAAGAAUUGGUUAAUUAAAGGUGAUAUUUUUAACAACAUCUUGUA